rnacentral:rRNA from 1 species
GCCGGUUCUCGUACGAUCACCGAAGUUAAGCAGCGUAGAGCCAGGUCAGUACUUAGAUGGGGGACCGCUUGGGAACACCUGGUACUGUAAGC